GUCCACGCCGUAAACGAUGAAUACUAGGUGUCGGUGGCAAAGCCAUUCGGUGCCGUCGCAAACGCAGUAAGUAUUCCACCUGGGAGUACGUUCGCAAGAAUGAACUCAAGGAAUUGACGGGACCCGCACAAGCGGUGGAGCAUGUGGUUAAUUCGAAGCAACGCGAAGAACCUUACCAAGUCUUGACAUCCGCCUGACCGAUCCUUAACCGGAUCUUUCCUUCGGGACAGGCGAGACAGGUGGUGCAUGGUUGUCGU
rnacentral:rRNA from 1 species